ensembl:lncRNA
GUUUGGACAACAGCGUCCUCAUUGAGCAAAUGAACCCCAAUCAACAUCGGCCUCUACUGGGCAACGUGGGUUAUUGAUCAGGGAUAUCCAAGAAUCGUCCAAUAAGAGCCUGGAUUGCGGGUCAUGUGACCUGGCAGACGCGUGAAGGAAGGCUUGAACGGCAACAACAAAUAUGGAGGCGUCUCCUGUCAGCUUCGCACCGGAGAGGUACUGGACGGAGGAAAAAGAAAGGGCGCUCAUAGCUUAUUUCGCUAAUCACAGUUGUUUGUGGAAUCACAAGUCAGAGAGCUACAAAAACCGACAGCUGCGAUGGAAAACUCUGGAAAGCCUGAGGAUCCUCCUGUCUGCUCACUCUCCCCCUGUUAGUUUCACAGUGGAAGACAUCAAGAACAAGUUCAAGAACCUUCGCACAACCUUUCAGCGUCAGUACAAAAUGGAGGAGAACCAGCCUGUGAACACCUCUGGAUCAAUCAUUACCUUCCUCCCCACCCCAGCCACCACCUCCCCGCCCUCCUCUACCUCCUGUGUCCCCUCCAACAUGAUGAUAAAAUGUUACUGGACUGAAGAAAGAGAGCGUGCACUAAUAGCGUUCUACUCUGAGCAUAGCUGUCUGUGGAACAAGAGGUCUGAGAACCACAAUAACCGGCAACUCAGACUGAGGCUGCUGGAGGCUCUGAGGAGUCAGCUGUCUGACCACUCUGUGUCUUUCUCAGUUGAAGACGUCAAAUGCAAGUUCAAGAACCUUCGAACAGUUUUCAACCGUGAAUACAAGGCGGUCCAGACGAGCAGGGUGUCUGACAAACUCUAUGUGUCCAAAUGGAAACACUACCAACAAAUGCUCUUCCUCUGUGAGUCCUGUGAUGAAGACGACAGCACAGACGACUUGAUGCCACAGGAAGACAAGGAUCUGGAGCAUGGAAACCAAACACCCUCCUCCACCCUGAGCAGUUUCUCCUCUAGCUCCAACCAAACCAGCAGCAUCAAGUUCAAUCACCCCACUGCUUCGUCCAACGAUGGCAAAACCACCACCAGUGCUGCCUACCAAAUAUUCCUUGCUGCGUCUCCAGAUCUUCUUAAGCUUGCGAGCCAAACAGCUGCUCCUACUCUAACCACCUCUCCUUACACUGCACAACUGGACACCAAGCCUUGCGCAAACCCCUCCCAUCUAAAUGUUUCUACGUCAGGUUCAGUUCAGCCAGACAGCAGACAGAGUGCAGACUCCCGCUGCCACUGGAGCGAGGCCAAAGUUCAGCAGCUGAUAUCCUUUUACUCUGAGCACAGCUGUCUGUGGAACCACAAAUCCGAGAGCUACAGGAACAGGCUGUUGAGACAGACUCUGUUGGAGACACUAAGCAGCAUUCUGUCUGAUAAUGAGCCAGUCCCAUUUUCAGUUAAACUUUUUGAGCUCCUCUCCAGAGUCCAGCGGAUAGUCCGGGUGGUGUUGGAGUGUGUCUGCUGCCGGAGGAUCAGCCGCUCUCUGCGCUUCAGGAAUGCACUUUGCAGGAAACGCAGCUCGGUGCUCGGACACCUCUUGCCUCGCCUUCUGCAAUCUGUUUUCUUAACGAGGAAUUAUAAAUGA